UACGUAGGGUGCGAGCGUUAAUCGGAAUUACUGGGCGUAAAGGGUGCGCAGGCGGUUCCGCAUGUCGGGCGUGAAAUCCCCGGGCUUAACCUGGGAAUGGCGUCCGAAACUAUGGGACUGGAGUGUGGCAGAGGGAGGUGGAAUUCCACGUGUAGCGGUGAAAUGCGUAGAGAUGUGGAGGAACACCGAUGGCGAAGGCAGCCUCCUGGGCCAACACUGACGCUCAUGCACGAAAGCGUGGGGAGCAAACAGGA
rnacentral:rRNA from 1 species